rnacentral:rRNA from 1 species
CGUUCCCGGGCCUUGUACACACCGCCCGUCACACCACGAAAGUUGGCAACACCCGAAGUCAGUGGCCGAACCCUUUUGGGACGGAGCUGCCGAAGGUGGGGUUAGCGAUUGGGGUG